rnacentral:rRNA from 1 species
GACGAACGCUGGCGGCGUGCUUAGCACAUGCAAGUCGAACGGUGAAGCGCCUUCCUUUUUGGUGGGUGUGGAUGAGUGGCGAACGGGUGAGUAACACGUGAGUAACCUGCCCCCUUCUUCUGGAUAACCGCAUGAAAGUGUGGCUAAUACGGGAUAUUCUGGGUCUGUCGCAUGAUGGGUCUGGGAAAGAUAUUGUUUCGGUGGGGGAUGGGCUCGCGGCCUAUCAGCUUGUUGGUGGGGUGAUGGCCUACCAAGGCGGUGACGGGUAGCCGGCCUGAGAGGGUGGACGGUCACACUGGGACUGAGACACGGCCCAGACUCCUACGGGAGGCAGCAGUGGGGAAUAGUGCACAAUGGGCGCAAGCCUGAUGCAGCGACGCCGCGUGAGGGAUGGAGGCCUUCGGGUUGUGAACCUCUUUCGCCAGUGAAGCAGGCCUGCCUCGUUUGUGGGUGGGUUGACGGUAGCUGGAUAAGAAGCGCCGGCUAACUACGUG